rnacentral:rRNA from 1 species
CAGCAGCCGCGGUAAUACGAAGGGGGCUAGCGUUGUUCGGAAUUACUGGGCGUAAAGCGCACGUAGGCGGAUAUUUAAGUCAGGGGUGAAAUCCCGCAGCUCAACUGCGGAACUGCCUUUGAUACUGGGUAUCUUGAGUAUGGAAGAGGAUAGUGGAAUUGCGAGUGUAGAGGUGAGAUUCGUAGAUAUUCGCAGGAACACCAGUGGCGAAGGCGGCUAACUGGUCCAUAACUGACGCUGAGGUGCGAAAGCGUGGGGAGCAAACAGGAUUAGAUACCCCAGUAGUCCCUGUCUCUUAUAA